rnacentral:rRNA from 1 species
UACAGAGGGUGCGAGCGUUGUUCGGAAUUAUUGGGCGUAAAGCGCUUGUAGGCGGCUUGUUAAGUUCCGUGUGAAAUCCCCAGGCUUAACCUGGGAAGUGCGCGGAAAACUGGCGAGCUUGAGUGCCGGAGAGGGUCGCGGAAUUCCCGGUGUAGAGGUGAAAUUCGUAGAUAUCGGGAGGAACACCAGUGGCGAAGGCGGCGACCUGGACGGACACUGACGCUGAGACGCGAAAGCGUGGGGAGCGAACAGG